rnacentral:rRNA from 1 species
AGUGGAUGGGGAGCAACCUAGUUGUGCGUGUGUAAAGGUAGUGCCAAGAAAAGCGAUGAUCAUGUUGAAAAUCAAUUCCCGGUACCCGAAACCGACACAGGUGGGCAAGUAGAGAAUACUAAGGGGCGCGAGGUAACUCUCUCCAAGGAACUCGGCAAAAUGACCCCGUAACUUAGGGAGAAGGGGUGCCACCGAGAGGUGGUCGCAGUGAAGAGGCCCAGGCGACUGUUUAGCGAAAACAUAGAUCUCUGCAAACUCGAAAGAGGAGGUAUAGGGGCUGACGCCUGCCCAGUGCCGGAAGGUUAAAGAAGUUGGUCAGUCUUAGGAUGAAGCUAGCGACUGAAGCCCCGGUGAACGGCGGCCGUAACUAUAACGGUCCUAAGGUAGCGAAAUUCCUUGUCGGGUAAGUUCCGACCCGCACGAAAGGCGUAACGAUCUGGGCGCUGUCUCGGAGAGAGGCUCGGCGAAAUAGGAUUGUCUGUGAAGAUACGGACUACCUGCAUUUGGACAGAAAGACCCUAUGAAGCUUUACUAUAGCUUGGAAUUGUGUUCGGGCUUCCUGUGCGCAGGAUAGGUGGGAGGCGUAGAAGGUAUUCUUGUGGGGAUACUGGAGCCAACGGUGAGAUACCACUCUCAGGAGGCUAGAAUUCUAACUUAAUUAAGGACAGUUUCAGGUGGGUAGUUUGACUGGGGCGGUCGCCUCCAAAAAGGUAACGGAGGCGUACAAAGGUUCCCUCAGACUGGUUGGAAAUCAGUCGAAGAGUGCAAAGGCAGAAGGGAGCUUGACUGCGAGAAGUACAGUUCGAGCAGGGUGGAAACACGGUCUUAGUGAUCCGACGGUGCUGUGUGGAAGGGCCGUCGCUCAACGGAUAAAAGUUACUCUAGGAUAACAGGCUGAUCUCCCCCAAGAGUUCACAUCGACGGGGAGGUUUGGCACCUCGAUGUCGGCUCAUCGCAACCUGGGGCGGAAGUACGUCCCAAGGGUUGGGCUGUUCGCCCAUUAAAGCGGUACGUGAGCUGGGUUCAGAACGUCGUGAGACAGUUCGGUCCAUAUCCGAUGUAGGCGUGAGAAUAUUGAGAGGAGCCUUCCUUAGUACGAGAGGACCGGGAAGGACGCACCGCUGGUGUACCUGUUAUGAUGCCAAUUGUAAACGCAGGGUAGCCAAGUGCGGAGAGGAUAACCGCUGAAAGCAUCUAAGUGGGAAGCCCACCUCAAGAUGAGUAUUCUGGUGUAAGGUCACGGGAAGACGACCCGUAAAUAGGCACGAGGUGGAAGUGCAGAGAUGUAUGAAGCCGAAGUGUACUAAUAGACCGUCGUCUUGACC